CCCUGGGUGGCUCAGUCGUUAAGCACCUGACUUCGGCUCAGGUCACCAUCUCACAGUUCGUGGGUUCGAGUAGCACAUCGGGUGAGCUCGAACCCCACUUCAGGUG
rnacentral:tRNA from 1 species